UCUGUUUGAAGAUAUAAAGAGUCUGGCCUGCCCACUGAUUUAGGUAAUUGAAGGGCCGCGGUAUUAUGACCGUGCAAAGGUAGCAUAAUCAUUAGAUCUUUAAAUGGGAUCUUGUAUGAAUGGUUAGACAAAAGAAAAACUGUCUUUAUAAUAAGUUUGAAUUUAACUUUUAAGUGAGAAGGCUUAAAUAAUCUAAUGGGACGAGAAGACCCUAUAAAGCUUUAUAUUAAAGUUGUUUUUAAUUGAAUUUGAAAUAAUAAUGAUUUAAUGUAAUUGUAGUAUUAUGUUGGGGAGACAGAGGUAAAAUUUAUAAUAACUGCUUAAAAGUAAAACAAAUAUAGUUAUUUAAAAAGGAUCCUAUUAUAUGGAUUUAAAGAUU
rnacentral:rRNA from 1 species